CAGCCUGCCGAAGAGCGUGCGGCUUCUACUGCGGCUGCGCAAGCUCGACGCGCGCACUCUUGUCUGCUUACGAGGGCUCCUCCCUUCAGCUUUGGUCCCUCGGGGCGUCUGGGCAGCCUACGCUUUCCGACUGGAAUCAGCCAUUUUACCAAGAAAGUUGGGUUUCUUUUACUGGCAAAUAGUACUUCAAGAGCACAGUCUUAUGUAAGGGAGCUGUACCAAGUUAUUUUGGGUCAGAAUUCUCCUGGGAUAUCUUUUUUCUUCGCCUUUUUAAACUCGUUUAUUAUAAAAACAAUGUUACCAUAUGCAAAACUAGAAGAGUGUAAUGAAUUCCCGUGUGUCCAUCAUCUAUCUUUAACAGAAGUACAGUCUAUAUAAAGACUGUCCAGGACAAAAACUGGCCACUCCAUUCAGCAUUGACAGCAGUAUUUAAAGCUGGUGCAUGGUGAGGUGAAGUUUCUCAAGGGCAAAGACAAUGCCUUCAUGCAUGUUCAGUGUCUGCCCCCGUGGGCUUUGAAAUGAUCGCUGACAAUGGGGGAUCUGCAGUGACUUCUCUGCCUCUGCCAAAGCCCAGGGGUGCUGCUCCCUAAUUCUAAGGAUUCUAAUGAGACUCAGAGCAGGUGUAACACAGGGCAUGGAGCUUCCUGAGCAAGAGGCUGGCUAACAAACUGUGGACGUGGUACUUAGACACAUUAAGAGACAUUACAGGGACACCUGCAAGUAUGUCUCCCUGGGGAGAAGCCAAGUGCAGAUGCUAUGGCCACAGAUGAUAUGGUUUGGCUCUGUGUCCCCACUCAAAUCUCAUCUCAAGUUGUAAUCCCUGGAUGUCGAGGGAGGGACCUGGUGGGAGGUGAUUGGAUUGGUUCGCAUGAUAGUGAGGGAGUUCUCACGAGAUCUGGUUGUUUGAUAAGUGUCUGGCAUUUCUCCUGUGCUGUCUCUCCUGCCACCUUGUGAAGAAGGUGCCUGCUUCUCCUUCGCCUUCCGCCAUGAUUGUAAGUUUCCUGAGGCCUCCCUAGCAAUGCAGAACUGUGAGUCAAUUAAACUUCCUUUCUUUAUAAAUUACCCAGUCUCGAAUGGUAUCUUUAUACCAAUGUAAGAACAGACUAAUACAGACAGGGACCACAAAGCAAGAAUUUAGGGCCUGAAGAGUCUUCAGCAUUGAAAAUCUUCACUCAGAAUCCCUGGUCCCUGCAUUGAGAGCACUGGGUAGAUCACUGAACUCCCCUGACAACACUGCAAAGUGCUGGGUACCUACGAUGCCACACCCUCUCCUCUGACCUCACAGUGUUAAAGUAAGGGGGCCCAUAGUACACGAUGUUACUGUCAGCAUGCUAUGUGUCGUGACUCAGCAACAGCACAUUCACCAAAGGAGAAACCCCUCCGUCUCUCUAUCUAGGCAGCCAGCCUUUUGACUUGUAUUCGGGGAUCUGGAGACUAUCAUUCCCUUAGGAAUUAGGUUCACUAGAGGAGCAUUCUGGUCACUAUGGGACAUUUUCCUCUGAAUUUGAAAGUAAACAGCCCCUGAAAGCAACAGGAAGACAUAAUCAGAGAACUCAGCAUUAAAAACCAAUAAUGAAUAGUAUCAAUGUAAUGCUUCCAUUAGAAACCUCUACUUUUACCAAAAUGAUUUAAAUGGGGUUGCUCAGAACUGAGUCCUCUCCAUCUCUGACAGCCCAUGCUGGGUUGUGAAGGUGUGUGCUUAUUGCUGAGGACUGGAAAGGGGGCAUUUCUUGGAGCCUUGGAGCCCUGGGAGCGAGCCAGCCACCUCUCUCCAGAUGACAGGCCUACCGGACACCACUCUCCUCCCCGAGCUGUAUGUCAAAAGGCCAUAAAGCUUGCAAAUGCAUGCAGACCGACUCGCCCCUUGAGUAUCAGUGGCUCUUGGAAAAUACAGAGAAUAACUGGAACAUCAACUAAAGUCCCCCAUAAUCCCAACACCAGAGACAGCCUGUGUUAAGAGUUUUUGGGUUUCCUUCUGUACUAUUCUUGAUGUAUCUGGCAAAGGGACCUCAAAAGCAGGGAGUGUGCAGGGGAGGAAGCCUGGCUCCACCACCCCCACACCAAAGGGAGCCUCAGGCUCCAUGAGGAAGAGAGCUUUUCCUUUAUAAAGCAAGGUCUUGGCCAGGUGCGGUGGCUCACGCCUAUAAUCCCAACACUUUGGGAGGCUGAGGCAGGCAGAUCACUUGAGCUCAGGAGCUGGAGAACAGCCUGGGUAACAUGGCGAACCCCUGUGUCUACAAAAAAUACAAAAAUUAGCUGGGCGUGGGUGGUGCAUGCCUCAAGUCCCAGCUACUUGGGAGGUGGAGAUUGCAGUGAGCUGAGCUCGCGCCACUGCAUUCCAGCACCCCAGCCUGGGUAAUAGAGUAAGACCCUGUCUCCAAAAAAAAAAAGGUUGUGGUUGUGGCUUCCUCUUGCUGACUCACUCGUGGCAGUGCCCCCCAAGGCUUGCCCUAUGGCUUCUCACAGAAGUGACAAGAGAAGCAUCCCGGAUGGGAACCCAGCCCUUCUCAGUCUAGCGUCCAUCUGCUGCUGCCUACAUAGAAAUUUACUAUGUUUACACCAGGAAAAUGAUGCUUUAAACCCACAGAAGAAAAGCAUGUAGGCCAGGAGCAGUGGCUCACACCUGAAUCCCAGCACUUUGGGAGGCUGUGUGGGAGGGUUGCUUGAACCCAGGAGUUUAAAAAGACCAUCUUGGGCAAAAUGGUGAAACCCAAUCUCUACAAAAAAAGUUAAAAAAAAAUAAAAAACCAAGUAAUGCAACCUGUAAAGGAUGCCAAGCUUCUAAUCCAAGGGGAUUCAGAACCCCUGUGAGGCACUGUAGCUCCCCACUUUACCUUCACAAUACACGACGUGUCUGAAAACACAAGGAGCCAGCCUUGA
rnacentral:lncRNA from 1 species